GAUGAACGCUGGCGGCGUGCCUAAUACAUGCAAGUCGAGCGAACGGACAAGAAGCUUGCUUCUCUGAUGUUAGCGGCGGACGGGUGAGUAACACGUGGAUAACCUACCUAUAAGACUGGGAUAACUUCGGGAAACCGGAGCUAAUACCGGAUAAUAUUUUGAACCGCAUGGUUCAAAAGUGAAAGACGGUCUUGCUGUCACUUAUAGAUGGAUCCGCGCUGCAUUAGCUAGUUGGUAAGGAAACGGCUUACCAAGGCAACGAUGCAUAGCCGACCUGAGAGGGUGAUCGGCCACACUGGAACUGAGACACGGUCCAGACUCCUACGGGAGGCAGCAGUAGGGAAUCUUCCGCAAUGGGCGAAAGCCUGACGGAGCAACGCCGCGUGAGUGAUGAAGGUCUUCGGAUCGUAAAACUCUGUUAUUAGGGAAGAACAUAUGUGUAAGUAACUGUGCACAUCUUGACGGUACCUAAUCAGAAAGCCACGGCUAACUACGUG
rnacentral:rRNA from 1 species